rnacentral:sRNA from 1 species
CCUGCACAUCGCUGCUUCCAGCCUGUGCCUGGGCGCCGCCAAAUGUUUGCUGGAGCACGGCGCCAACCCUGCGCUGAGGAAUCGAAAAGGACAGGUGCCGGCGGAGGUGGUCCCAGAUCCUAUGGACAUGUCCCUGGACAAGGCAGAGGCGGCGCUGGUGGCCAAGGAGCUGCGGACGCUUCUGGAAGAGGCAGUGCCACUAUCUUGCGCCCUCCCCAAGGUCACGCUACCCAACUAUGACAACGUCCCAGGCAAUCUCAUGCUUAGCGCACUGGGCUUGCGCCUGGGAGACCGUGUGCUGCUGGAUGGCCAGAAGGUCAGGGGCUGGGGUGUGUGUUUGCGUGGUGGGUGGGGGUGGGACUCAGCCC